GCCCCUGUAGCUCAGUUGGUAGAGCACCGGACUUUUAAUCCGUGGGUCGUCCGUUCGAGCCGGACCGGGGGCA
rnacentral:tRNA from 1 species